GAGUUUGAUCAUGGCUCAGGAUGAACGCUGGCGGCGUGCUUAACACAUGCAAGUCGAACGAACCUUCGGGUUAGUGGCGGACGGGUGAGUAACGCGUGAGAAUCUGCCCUCAGGAGGGGGAUAACAGCUGGAAACGGCUGCUAAUACCCCAUAUGCCGCGAGGUGAAAUGAAUUUCGCCUGAGGAUGAGCUCGCGUCUGAUUAGCUAGUUGGUGUAGGUAAUGGCUCACCAAGGCAUCGAUCAGUAGCUGGUCUGAGAGGAUGAUCAGCCACACUGGGACUGAGACACGGCCCAGACUCCUACGGGAGGCAGCAGCGGGGAAUUUUCCGCAAUGGGCGAAAGCCUGACGGAGCAACGCCGCGUGAGGGAUGAAGGCCUCUGGGCUGUAAACCUCUUUUAUCAAGGAAGAAGAUCUGACGGUACUUGAUGAAUAAGCCACGGCUAAUUCCGUGCCAGCAGCCGCGGUAAUACGGGAGUGGCAAGCGUUAUCCGGAAUUAUUGGGCGUAAAGCGUCCGCAGGCGGCCCUUCAAGUCUGCUGUUAAAAAGUGGAGCUUAACUCCAUCAUGGCAGUGGAAACUGAGGGGCUUGAGUGUGGUAGGGGCAGAGGGAAUUCCCGGUGUAGCGGUGAAAUGCGUAGAUAUCGGGAAGAACACCAGUGGCGAAGGCGCUCUGCUGGGCCAUCACUGACGCUCAUGGACGAAAGCCAGGGGAGCGAAAGGGAUUAGAUACCCCUGUAGUCCUGGCCGUAAACGAUGAACACUAGGUGUCGGGGGAAUCGACCCCCUCGGUGUCGUAGCCAACGCGUUAAGUGUUCCGCCUGGGGAGUACGCACGCAAGUGUGAAACUCAAAGGAAUUGACGGGGGCCCGCACAAGCGGUGGAGUAUGUGGUUUAAUUCGAUGCAACGCGAAGAACCUUACCAGGGUUUGACAUCCUGCGAAUCUCUUGGAAACGAGAGAGUGCCUUCGGGAGCGCAGUGACAGGUGGUGCAUGGCUGUCGUCAGCUCGUGUCGUGAGAUGUUGGGUUAAGUCCCGCAACGAGCGCAACCCACGUCUUUAGUUGCCAGCAUUUAGUUGGGCACUCUAGAGAGACCGCCGGUGAUAAACCGGAGGAAGGUGUGGAUGACGUCAAGUCAUCAUGCCCCUUACAUCCUGGGCUACACACGUACUACAAUGCUACGGACAAAGGGCAGCAAGUUCGCGAGGACAAGCAAAUCCCAUAAACCGUGGCUCAGUUCAGAUCGUAGGCUGCAACUCGCCUACGUGAAGGAGGAAUCGCUAGUAAUCGCAGGUCAGCAUACUGCGGUGAAUACGUUCCCGGGCCUUGUACACACCGCCCGUCACACCAUGGAAGUUGGCCACGCCCGAAGCCGUUACUCCAACCCUUGUGGAGGAGGACGUCGAAGGUGGGGCUGAUGACUGGGGUGAAGUCGUAACAAGGUAACC
rnacentral:rRNA from 1 species